GACGAACGCUGGCGGCGUGCUUAACACAUGCAAGUCGUACGGUAAGGCCCUUUUGGGGGUGUACUCGUGGGGAACAGGUGAGUGACACGUGAGUAACCUGCGCCCUACACUUCGGGAACGGCCGGAGACACGUGCUAUUACUGCGUAUGUGCUCCUUCUGCAUGGUGGGGGUUGGAAAGCUCUGUCGGUUGUGGAUGGACUCGCGGCCUAUCAGCUUGUUGGUGGGGUAGUGGCCUACCAAGGCGGCGACGGGUAGCCGGCCUGAGAGGGUGGCCGGCCACAUUGGGACUGAGAUACGGCCCAGACUCCUACGGGAGGCAGCAGUGGGGAAUAUUGCACAAUGGGCGCAAGCCUGAUGCAGCAACGCCGCGUGCGGGAUGACGGCCUUCGGGUUGUAAACCGCUUUCGGCAGGGACGAAGCUUUUUGUGACGGUACCUGCAGAAGAAGCACCGGCUAACUACGUG
rnacentral:rRNA from 1 species